rnacentral:rRNA from 1 species
UAUGGAAUCUUCGGCAAUGGGGGCAACCCUGACCGAGCAACGCCGCGUGAGUGAAGAAGGUUUUCGGAUCGUAAAGCUCUGUUGUAAGAGAAGAACGUGUGUGAGAGUGGAAAGUUCACACAGUGAAGGAAACUUACAAGAAAGGGACGGCUAACUACGUGCCAGCAGCCGCGGUAUUACGUAGGUGCCGAGUGUUGUCCGGAUUUAUUGGGCGUAAAGCGAGCGCAGGCGGUUUAAUAAGUCUGAAGUUAAAGGCAAUGGCUUAACCAGAGUUCGCUUUGGAAACUGUUAGACUAGAGUGCAGAGGAGGAGAGUGGAAUUCAAUGUGUAGCGGUGAAGUGCGUAGAUAUAUGGAGUAACACCGGUGGGGAAAGGGGCUCUCUGGUCUGUAACUGACGCUGAGGCUCGAAAGCGUGGGGAGCAAAGAGG